GUCCACUUUGCAAGAAAUUAGCCGCCAAGAAAAGCUGCCUCCUUGCUCUCCCACUCAUCGGCACCAGACCACAGCCCUGGCAAGCUUCAACUAUGAGUGGCUCUGGCAGUAACUUAACAUUUCCCGGACAGUCAGACAGAAGAGGGACAAAGGGUCUCAUGUUGCCCAUGAUCUAGAACUCAUUCCGAGGCUGAGGAUGACCUUGAACUUCUGAUCCUCCUAUCUCCACCUGAUACUAUGGAUGUGUACCACCAUACCUCAUUAAAGCAGUGCUGAGACCCAAACUCAAGGCUUGGUACUUGCUGUGCAAACCGUCAAACAACUGAGCCAGAUCUUUACUCCUUCCUCAUUUUUUCACAUGUUCUGAACACCUCAGCAGCAUGGAAAUGGCAUUUGUAUUUUCAGUUGGCUUUACCUGAAUUAUGGAUUUGCCUGAUUGUCCAAAAGAUGUGCUACAACAUCACCGGCACUGGAAAGAGGUGAACACUGAGCGGUCUCCUGUGUUGACUGCUGGGCACCUUCCUUGAGAAGUCACACCAAGGUUGGCAACAACCUCAUUGAAGGCUGUGGUUCCAGAGCUCUUCAACCUCCUUCCCUGCUGGAGUCACUGGGAACUACAGAAUCCACACUCCAGGGUAAGCUGUGGGGACACAAGGUUUUCCACAAACACCAUUAGACUAGAAUGUCCUUGGGGGAGUAUAUCACAGACUCUUGGGGACAGCAGGGAGGCCUGCUGCCAGUUCCUUGUCCUCUGGCAGAGUUUAGAAUAUGUGAUAAGGAUCAUGAGAUAGAGGAUUAUGUGAGCCCAAAGUUCCACAGGCAUAUUUGUGUACCUUGAGUACAGAGUUUAUGGGCUACGGUUCUUUUGUUUUGUCUUCAGCUAAGUUUUUUGUUUGUGUUUUUAUUUUUAUGUUUUUGAGACGGGGUCUCAUAUGCUGCAGUGUGGCUUGGAAUGAAUGACAUAUAGCAAAGAAUUAACAUGCACUCCUGAGCCUUCGGCCUCCACCUGCUGAGGUUACAGUGCUUGUCAAACUGAAGAGUUAUGAGGAGGACAGCAGAAUUUAAAACAUUCCAGGAGUGGGUUCAAAGACUAUAUUGGUGAGAAAAGGAGAAAGACCAGCGCCAGGAGGAAGCUACUGCUGGGGCUGACGGAGUCAGGGUUGAGAGGUAA